CUGCUACAGCUGACCACCACACUUUUCACAGGCGCCUUCUAAAGGGUGAUCAAGGUCAGGCUGGGCCCCCAGGACCUCCAGGAACACCUGGUCCCAGAGGGCCUCCAGGAAACACAGGCAGAGAUGGGCCGCAGGGCCACCCAGGAGAACCAGGUCCUCCUGGAAAAGAUGGAAAUGAGGUAAAAUGUUAUACUUUUUUAUAUGAACUCAUAUUAUUAUUGAUCUACAACUUAAUGGAA
rnacentral:lncRNA from 1 species